rnacentral:rRNA from 1 species
CGCAUACGUUCGAGAGAAGAAAGCAGCAAUGCGCUUGAGGAGGGGUCCGCGGCUGAUUAGCUAGUUGGUGGGGUAAAAGCCUACCAAGGCAAAGAUCAGUAGCCGGCCUGAGAGGGCACACGGCCACACUGGCACUGAGACACGGGCCAGACUCCUACGGGAGGCAGCAGUGGGGAAUCUUGCACAAUGGAGGAAACUCUGAUGCAGCGACGCCGCGUGAGCGAAGAAGCCUUUCGGGGUGUAAAGCUCUUACGCCAGGGACGAUAAUGACGGUACCUGGAGAAGCAGCUGCGGCUAACUACGUGCCAGCAGCCGCGGUAAUACGUAGGCAGCAAGCGUUGUUCGGAAUUACUGGGCGUAAAGGGUGCGUAGGCGGCGCUCUAAGUUUGGUGUGAAAUCUCCCGGCUUAACUGGGAGGGUGCACUGAAAACUGGAGCGCUCGAGUAUGGGAGAGGAAAGCGGAAUUCCUGGUGUAGCGGUGAAAUGCGUAGAGAUCAGGAGGAACACCUGCGGUGUAGACGGCUUUCUGGACCAUAACUGACGCUGAGGCACGAAAGCGUGGGUAGCAAACAGGAUUAGAUACCCUGGUAGUCCACGCCCUAAACGAUGCAUACUUGGUGUGGGUUCUUCACUGGAUCCGUGCCGGAGCUAACGCGUUAA